GGAGAGACAGCAAAGAGCGUGAGGUCAGAGAGAGCGGCUUAUGCAAAGGCUUGAAAGAAGCAAGGGAGCGUAGCGAGAGUGGGAGCCCAGCCUUCAGCCGCCUGACAGCUGGUCGGGGAGGAAGGAAAUGAAUUCAGGUGUUGAUUAAGAGGGAUCCACAGCUGAAGAUGCUGCGCUUCCCCCGCUGCAGCCCUUUCCCCUUCCAGAUGCUCUGGGAGAGAGGCUGCCGUCCUUGUUUUGAUUUCGCAGCCCCAAGGUUAUUUGGCCGCAGCGGCGAUGGGAGCUCAGCUCCUCCAGGACGCGGCUCAGUGCUCUGCCUCCUCCCGGAGCCUCUCUGCCUUCAGCAGGCGGGUGCUGUCUGCACCCAGCAAGAAGAGAAAGGUGGUUCAGGAGUCCUCUGCCCCUCUGCGUUUCUGCAGAUCGCUUUGGGGUUUGGCAUCUGGUGGUGAAGCCGGGGGAGCGGCAAAGUCAUCGGUGCGCAUGCAAGCCAGCACGGGAGGAGGCUGGAGCUCUGCAACGUGCCUGGUGACAGUGGUGACGAUGGUGACAAUAGUGACAACAGUGACACGCCCAGGAUCCCUGGGGAGCCACCCAGAUGGAUUCGUGCUUGGAAAACUGAUGCUGCAGCCUUCCUGAUGGAUUUCUUGGACCACAGAGUUCCCAGUGAAUGCAAGACAGUUGGUUUUCUCUUCUUAUUAUUAUUUAUUAUGAUCAUUAUCCCUCCCCUUCCCAACUGGCUGAGGCCACAGCCAAGCCAUAGGAUGCUUGCUACAGGCUGACAGCUCAGAACAGCAAGAGCACUGGGGGGAGCACCCCAGAACAACAUAUAAAGGCCGGGGGGGCUGCACAGAGCUGGGGGAGACCCAGCAUUAUCUCUGCUGAUGAGCACCCUGUGGGACUCUCAUUGGAGCCGUGUGGAUGAGGGAUGCUCCAUCACCUCUCUCUGCAUGCCAGAUCGGAGCAUGCACCCCUCAGGUUCCGGAGCUGAGCACCCCAAGGAGGGGGGGACCCAUGCUUGGUGCUGCUGCCAGCGCCUGUUUAUGCGUUUUAUCCAAUUACUGCUUAAUGCAAAAUGCAUAAGGAGCCCUUGGAGCAGGGACAGAAACCCUCAGCUCAGCUUUGUGCUGCUUGUCGGCGGAGCUGACCCUGUAGGACAAUUUCCAGUCUCAGCUGAAUGACUUCAUGAGAAGAUUUCUGCUUUUUCUUUUUUCUCUUCUUCUACUUCUUCUUUUUUUUUUUUUUAAAAUUUCCCAACCAGUCGCUGGUUAAUUUUUGCUCUGAUUUAGGAACAAAACCCGUGGCUGGAGGCUGAAUUUGCUCCACUUCAGCAACCCCCUCCCCACCCCCACUGCUGCAUCUCAGCCAGGCUUCUGCUGCUGGAUUAACAGAUUUUUGUGCUGGGGUUUGGGGCUGCUUUUAAGACGGGUCUCGAGCUCACCCCCCUCGAACACCAAAAAUCACUGGGGGGGGUCUUUGAGAAGCUCACAGCACAGCGGUGCCGCGGUUCCUGGCUGGCUCUGACCUGAGAUGGGAAAGGAGCAGCCACACGGCCCUGCUGUGCUGUGGCUUUUGAGGUUUCGGAGCAUUAAGGCAACAAAUUGUCCAUUUAAGUGAAACCCACCCUGCAGGCCGGCUCCCGGAGAAGCCCCAGAUCCCGAGCCAAAACCCGAGAGCGCGGCGGGAGAGAAAUCCAUCCUGAUUAGAGGAAAUAAAGCAAAACUCCAAAGCUCUCUUUCCCCUUCUUCCCUUGGCAAAUUCCCCUUUUGGCUCAGGUUUUCACAUUCUUGCUUCUGAAGCAGACUGAGAGAUGGGGAUGGAUCACAGCUUUCCUUGCCCCAUCCAGCUGGGUCCGGGGCUGGAUGCAGGACCCCCAUCCCUCCCUCGCUCCCAUUGCCAUGCGCCGUGCGAGCUGAUGAACCGCAGAACCCUUUGCUCGCCCAGCAAGGAAUGUUUCCAUCCUAAUUGGAUUUGAGCUCCGUAUUUCUGCAGCUUUUGUGCUCCUUGUUUUGUUAUUUAUAGGAAACAUCUGCCGGCACGGUGGGCAGGGGUCGGGCCGCGGGGCUGGGACAGGUUUGUCCCCAUUCAGCGGGGACACGAUGGCGUGGGGGGGGUCAGGUGCGUGACAGAGGCACUGCCCCUUGGUGGGAUGCUGGGACUGGGGAGAAACACCGGUUGAACUGGAAGAAGUAGUGGCUGGGAUGGGUUGUAUGAGUGACUGUGCCCAAGGGCAGGGUAAAAACCAUAAUGGUGUGGAAAAAAUUAGGUAAAUCUUGGCUGCUACAGCGCUCCCAGGAAGGCAGCAGCUUCCUCUGCCCAGAUGGGCUGGGAAAGGGCAGGGUUGUAUUUCCAGGUAGGCAGCAGAGCCGCAGGAUGAGGUGUCGUAAUGCUGACGAAGCUGGUUAUUAGAGCUGUGAUUAACCUCGGUAAUUAAUCUCAGGGAUUGAAUGUGGCGGAGGUCAACGUUUUCAGAGCUAUUUGGGAGACGGGGUGAUGUAAUUGCUUCGGAGAAACAAACUCCCUCCAUCCUGUGCCCUUCUGCUUCUCUGUUAUGUAUCUGGGGGAGCCCUGCCUGGCCCCGCAUGGUCUUUGAGGUCCCUCCCAACCUCAGCUCUGUGAUUCUAUGACCAUUCCUAAUUUCAAGGGGCUGAGCCUGAAGGGCUCUCUGCCCACGGCAUCAGUGCAGCCAAAGCCUCUCGCUCCCUUUCUGUGCGCAUCGGGGCUGGACUGGGACGUGGGAUGGGGCCAGCUGCAAACCGCCACCCCCCCCCUGCACAGCCCCAGCUGCAGGACUGCUGCUGCCAUCGCCUCCCUGGGUGGGAACAAGGAGGGAACAGCACCAGGGCGGUGGGUUACACAGAGAAGAUCAUGGAUUUACGGCAGCUGGGAAUCAGCUGCAUCCUUCCCGGUGCUUUGUUAAGGGCAAUGUGUGGGCAUCUUUCUGCAAGCUUAGCCCCGUGCAUGACAGCAGGAGGGGCAGAACUGGGUGCUGCAAUGUUUCCUUGAUGCAAACCCGUUUGGUUUUGCAUGGCUCCGGCCGUGGUUUCCCUCCCAGUGUUGGGCAGUGCCCGUUCGGUGCGAUGCACAGUGCUAUGGGGAUGCCUUUAUCUGCACCACAAGGUGCUGCUGCUAAAAGGAGAGCUCAGAUCCUGAACAAAGGAUUGGCUGCUGAUAGCAAAGUGAUUUACAGCGAGGCUUAGGGCAGCCAGCUCCAGGAGUGCUUUUACAUGACGUUCUAAUGGUUAUUAAUUUGUCUGGUAUUUACUGUAAUGCUAUUAAUCCUGAUAGGCUUGUUGGAUACUUAAUGCAAAUAUUUUAAGUGCUUCUGUGGGAUUUUUUUUUUCCCUGGAAUGGCGUGUUAGGAUGCACAGCCCGCAUGCAAGCUCCUGUUUUGAUGUAGUUGUCCCAAAUUUUCCCCAUUGCACAGGGCAUCACCCCAUCCCCACAUCGUGGACCCCCUGUCCCCAGGGCUGUCCCAUGUCCCUGCCUUCUCCAUGCAGUGCAGGCUUCAAAUUCCUCUCCUUUACAGCUCCAAACAUCUUUCAUCUCCCAUUCUUUGCAAAAGGCAUCAAAUUGCCCGUGUCCCAGGCUGGCUGCCCCACGCUGGCUCUGCCUCACCCUGCACUCCCAUGGGUGAUUCCUUUAAUUUCUCCCUCGCUUUGAUUCCUCUCUUUAUUGUCGCUCGCUGGCAAGCUGAGCUGCAGCCAUGUGUUUCUGUUUAGGUGGCCCUGACAGAUUGAGGUUUGCAGCCUUCGCGGUGGGAAACGCGGCUCCAAAAUCCUGGAAACGUGUGAAGGUUGCAAUCCGAUUCCGGCUGCUUUCCCCGCUCCCCUCCUCCCCAUCCAAAAAGCACAGCUGAUGCCAAAGGGAGUGUGGGGGGGUGGGGGGGAAGAGGGGAAGAAAAAACUCCAAACCUCCCAGGGAAACUGGAAAUAUAUGUAGGACUCGAUCCAAAGAUUGAUGGAAUAAAUCACAGCCUGGGACUGUGAGAGCAGCAGGUUGCUUUGGAGGGAGCUGUUCCUGGCUUCUGGCUGCUGAGAGUGAGAUCAGGGGGGUCCGGGCUGCUCCUCCAGCACUGGUGCCCCGAAUCCCAGGGGAGGAACGGCUCCAAUGGUUGCUUCAAUCCAUCAGUGUACAUGUCUCCUACGUGCAGCUCUCCAAUGGGUUUUCAGCCUGGUGCAGGCCAGCAGAGCUGCUGGAUGGUUUGCUGCCUGCGGGAGGAUGGUGCUGUGUUGGGGAUGCUGUGGAAGGAGCCCGGUGACAGCCCCGGUGCACAGGGGGCCCGACAGCAUCCCCACUGCCCUCAGUCCCUUCCUGCAUGCAGCAUCACACCGCGGUUGGGCUGGUGCUGGUGGGGCUGCUGCAGACAAAGAGCCCUUUGAAGGCUUUGGAGCUCUGAGUCAAGGGUUGGCCGUGCCCCUGCACCGAUGGGUGAGGGCUGGGGCGAGUUUGUCUCAAUUGAUGGCUUUAUCCUUUAUUUUCUCUCUCUUUGCUCCGUCUGGAGCUCCACAGCAGAAAGCGAAGCCAGAUGGCUGCGAUCUCAUCAAGCUCACAUUGCUCGGGAUCGUGGAUACCCCGGGGACCCCUGUGUGUGAUGUGGGGCUCAGCGGGCACCCGGCGUGUGGCUGCACUGCUGCUGGGGCCGUGGCUUGUAGCCUCCAGUGCUCCUGGACCCUAGGGCUCCCAGCCCCCCUGGCUAUGAGAGGUUGAGUGGGAUCAGCUCUCGUGACCUUCUCACCAAGCCAAAUCUUGGGACUUGGCUCCCAGCGUGGCUGAGCAGCACAGUGAUUUCUUUCCCAGCCAAAACAGCCUUUCUGGGAAGGAAGGGGAGAGAGGCACUUUCCACUCAUCCCUUCCCAUGGUGUUUGGGAAGAGGCGGGUCUGGAAAUACCCCCCAGUGUGAGUGCUGCUCGGGUGCAGCCAAGCUGGUGGGCCUCACCAUGGGAUGUGAUGUUUGGGAGAAAGAGGGUUUGCCAUCGGGAUUGCUGGUGCUGAUUGGGUCGCACAAGCGGAUGACCUGGGGUAAGCAGCGUGAGGUGACAUCAUUUUACAAUAAAAACAUCCAGGGGUGGCUCUGCCUUUUUGUUGUAUGAUUCCUGAUGGGAGCUGAGUGCCUUCCAGUUAAAAGGGGGGCAGAGAGCAGCGUGCUUGUCCCAUGGCCAAUUUGGAGAGAGCCAGGAGAGCACGAUGCCCGUUGUCUGCUCCAUGGGCACAGAGCUGAGCUGCACCGGGAACUGGGGAGGGACAAAUCCCAGGAGAUGGGAGAGAGAGGAGGGAUGCUUGGACCUGCUUUGUGCCCGCUGACUCCGGGCAUUUCAGCACCGUGCUGCUCCAUGCAGAUGUUUUGUGACUGCGCUCAGCUUCCAGCGUCUGCUCCCGCUAUCAGCCCGGCCCCCCAGGCUCUGCUGGCGGCACAUUCCCCUCCAGCGGGGGCCAAGAAUAAUAACACAUCCGCGGCGCAAUGCCUGGCUCUCCCCACAACCCCCCAAGUCUUGUGACUGUGGUGGAAUGGGGGCCCAAAUGCGGUCAGGAGGGAAAAGGUAGGGAGAAGCAGACAGCGGGGCUGGGAAAGGCACGGAGGAGGCAGAGCUGCUGGAAGGAUUCAAGGGGGUAGGGAACGGUCAGGAGUAUUUAUAGGAUUCCCAUCCGCUCGCAUUCAGCAUCUCAAUGGUGCUGGCUGACUCCUUGCCAGGGACCCCAGGCACCGAGGGGUUAAACAUGAAGGAUCGGUGAUUUUUGGCCUCCGAGUUAAAGUCAGUGUGAAAGCGGGAUGUGCAGUGCCAGGGUGGGAGAAAUGGACUUGCACAAAUAAAUAGCCCGGGUCACAUGAGUUCCUGGCUCCUUCUGGAGGAGCGGAGUGUUUAUCCGAGUGCCUGGAGGCCUGGCCGUGCUUUGUGAUGGAGGAGAAGCUGAUGUGCAAGGAACCGGGUUUCGGCUGCUGGUGGGAGGUCUCUGGGGGGUGUUUCCCUCUGCUGAUGGCUUUGCCUGUGAGUUGGGUCUCGGGGUGCACUCUGCUGGAGCUGGCGGUGCUCAGAUCUCGCCCAUCCCGGAGGCACUGGUGGGUCCCUGCAGGGGGUGACCCCAGCACCAGGGGUGCUGCCCAGUGCCUUCCUUGCUCCUCACCAGCAGCACCAUUUGGGCAUCCCUCUGUCCUUUGUUUCACUGCUCAUUCCUCCUUCUGAAGUCAAAAUCCCCGUGCUCCGGCAUCACAGCCGGCAUCUAAUGGUGAUGCCACGCGCAUCCCGCCCAGCUGUCCCACAGCCAACGCGGCAUGGGGACAGAGCCAAACAGGGCUCAGUGCCUCCUUCGGAGAGCGUCAUCCCCUCAUCUCUGGCUGCUUCCCCUGGAGCAGUGCCAGCGGUGGGGAGAGCAGUUCUUGGGGCGUGCGCCCUCGUGCCCCAAAGUGCUCUGUGCCCAAAUCCCACGAGGGGUAUUUAUAACACAAAAUGGGGCUGCAGCGUUUCCCGGUGCCAGCAUCCAGACGGGCAGCGAGCACAGCCCACGGCUGCCCUUUGCUUGGAGCUCUGCUGCCUGAUUUGCUCUGCGAAGACAACAGAGAGGUGUUAAGCGCUCAUAAACCAAGAACCAACACCGCCCUGCUGCUGCACAGCCACCAACCUGCGCAGUGCUCCCUUCUGCUCUGUGCAAGCUUUUGAGAUCCAGGUGCCAAAAAAUCUACCAUCCUUAAUUUUUUUUUUCCCCCCUUUUCUCCGUAUUAGAAUGAAGCACAACCCCUCAGGUGCAUCCGCAACGAGAGGGGCUGUCACUGCUGCACAUGAUCCCAUCCCUGGGCUGGGGAUGCAGUGGGACAGCUUUGCCUCCAGCAGCUCUGGGUUGGGCGCUUUGUGCCUGAGGUUCCUUCUUGUAAAGGCACAAAGGCAUUUCCAUGGGUUUGGGAAGCUGCUUUUCCCUCUAGCAGAGGCAGAAGUCCUAUGUGGAGAUGCUGGGUUGUUCCCCAGUGGGGUUGCUUUAUUCUUUUUGAGGACGUAAGCUCUUUGCUGGAAAUAUUGGGGCAUCCUCAAAGAUCCCCAUGAGCUCUCCUUCGGGUAGCGCUCCUUUGUAACAGGUUCCUGCGCUGGAAAAGCUGUUUCUUCCCCCGCUCUUAUGUGACGGGUGUGAUAAUAAAGGCCAAAUUGAUUCGAACCAUUUCCUGUAAGUCCUCAGGGAAUAAAUUCCCCCAAUCGAUGGUUGCUCCUGGCAGGCCCUGGAAGCUCUGUGCAGCGCUCUGCGGCGACGCUUUGUUGAACCCCCAGCACUUCCCUCUCGUCCCUGUCACUCCUGCUUUGAGCGUGGACCCCAACCCUCCCUGGGCUCUGUUGCUUUGGACACAGCUCUUUGUGAUCCAGUGAGCAGGACGAGGCUGGGAUUUGGGUACCACCAGGUGCAGGCCCUGCCGUGGCCUCUCCACCCCCAGCACAUGGCACAAAGUGUCCGAUUUUGGGGACAGAUUGACUGGGAUAGGCGCAGGGCUUUGGCUGUCUUGGCCGAAGGGCUUUCCCAUGCAAUUUCUGCUUUCUGCCCUGCAGUUCCCCCCACCCAUGGCACAGCUUUCUCUGCUCUGGACCCCUUUCUGAGCUCACUGCUGGGAGCCCAGCACUUCCACACAUUUGUCACCCACGGGACGCGGCUCUCUCCUGCUGUCUCGGGGGCUGCUGGACAAUGAUUUCUCGCCUUCACCUUCUCACCAGCUCUGCGGAUGGUGUUUGCUAAGUGUAUUUUAAUGCGUUCACCUUUCACCUCCUGCCUAGACCUGCAUUGAUCCAAAAAUGGAUCGGGGGAGGUGACAGAGCUGCAGCCACCCCGCGUUCAGCAAGGGGAGGUCCCUGCAUCUCAUCCAUGCUGGAAUUGGGGCCACGAGCCCCGAAAUGCAGAGAAUGGAAAUGCUGAAAGUGGUGCAGCAGAAAUUUGGGAGAGGAUUUGGGUACCCCACUCCCACAACGGUGUCCUGUUGGCAGAAUGAUGUUUACCACCAUUGCAGCCCAGAGCUGAUGACAGUGCGUGGUGCAAGCAGGUCCUGCUGGCUGCUUUCCUAUGCAGCACUGAGGCUGAAUUUGUGAACUGGUGCAGAAAUGCAGAAGUUGGUGCACAGCUGCAGGUGCAGGAAGCUUCUUUCUGCCUCAAACGUGGGAAAAUCAGUGCGGUCCCACUGUGAUCCUGCAAUGUGCUGGGCAUGGGGUUGUCACCCUGUAGCAGCACAGGGAGCGAUGCAGCCCCUGGGAGGGUGAUUCUAUCGCUGCUGAGCGAGAAACAUCUGCAAGCAGCGAGCACAGCCUGGGGAGAUGGGACAUGCUGACCUGCAGAUGGGAACGAUGGGAGGUAGGAGGUAAAUCUGAGCUAUCCCAGCUGCUGCCUGCCAGGCCUUGCUCAUGUCACAGGGAGAAGGCAUUUCUUUAGGGGAGAGGGGGUGAUUUCGCAUCUGAACUCUGUGCUGUCUGCAGAGGCACCAGCACAGGCUCUUUCUAUGAGUUAUUGCCUCCGGGUCGUCUCCAGCCCAGACAGCACAGCAGUUCGGGACCCCCCCACCUCCUCCAAGGAGCACCCACUUGUCCCCAGCUCUUCUUCUCUCCAUGGGGCAGAGGAGGUUGAAGUGCUGCUGGAGCAUCCAGGCCAGGCAGAGGGGGCUGCAUCCCAGGGAACGCGGGCAGCAUGGGACAGAGCCAAACCAUGGGGUCACUUGUGCAAAGGCAGCGUCAGAGGGCGGAGAGGAUUAAAGUUUAAUCAAAAUGUUCUUCCCCCCUCCCCCCCCCCCAACUAUUUUUUUGGUUGUAAACAGGAAGCUGAGGUUUCACUUCACCCCAAAUCUUUGCGGAACGUGCCUGUUUUUAUAGCAGCUUUUAUUUAUCUGUUUCUUCCCCUCACUGGGAACCAGAGAGCUUGCAGCUGACGGAAAGCAGGGGAGGUGUUGGCUGCUAAAACCCAAAACCCCCAAAUAUCUGCGGUGCCUUUCACAGAAAAACCCAAACCUCCUCCUCCCAACGGAGGGAACAGAGAUGGAAAAUGGGAUAAUGUUUCCCCCCGUUCCCGUUGUCCCUGUGCUGGACUUUGUUUGAGAGGAGGCGAUGAUUUACCCUGGGGCCGGGGGGGGGUUGAUUUGCAGAGCAGUAAAACCCAGCAGCAUUGUCUCCAUCACAGGUUGGGGCUGUUUAUUUUUUCCCUUGGAAAAGCCGUAUCCGUUAUCUUCCUUCCGGUAAAAAUCCCAUCCCAGCAGAUAAAAGCUCCUCACAGCUCCCGGGGGGGUUUUGUGCCGUGCUCGGGGCUGUGUCCACCCCCAGCCCUGCUCACCUGCAUCCACUGAGGGGGUGGGAGGUGGGGAGGAAGCCAGGUGUGGUGGAGCUUAAUUGGUUUUAAAUUAAUGUGGAGGAGGAAGCUGAAAGGUGCAGGCAGUGUUCUUGGUUUCCUUGGGAAGUGCUUGCUGCUGCUGGGGGCCAGGGAGAGGUCUGUGGGUUCAUUCCAAUUAGGGGUAACAAAGCUGUGUUUUCCUUUCCCCUUGGUCCUAGCAAAGCACUGAACCUGCUGUGGGUCCAGGUGAGCUCUCUCCCAAAGGGAACAUCCCAUGAGAGCUGUGGCUGAAGCUCGGAGCGGGUGGGAGAGCAGAGCCAGGAGCCCCAUGGGCGCAGCAGGUAUGGAGCAGGGUGCUGGGUGUCAGCGAGGAGGGGAAGAAACGACAACUAGAAUUGUAUAGAACUCCUAUGAGCUCUGCCUUGAUGCUUCUGGGACAGGACCUCACCGCUGCCUUGCUCCAUCUCGUUGGCAAGAGCCGGCGGGGCCAUGCCGCUGUCACAUCCCCACACGCUGUCCCCGUGCACAUCGAGCAGCUGGAGACGUUUUAAUUAACAAAAUCCCAGCGUCGCAUCGUGGUGCCGGAUUGAAGAGGCAGCGCAGGGAGCGAGCGGCUGCUUCCCUGCUGCUGUGCCCAGGAAGGACCCACGUCCCCAGCAAGCAGCUGAAGGUCACACAGAUGGGGUAGUUUGGUUUGGGUUUUUUUGUCCCUUGAGUCAUUUUCCAUUUGAUUAAGGGAAGAGAUGCGUGGCAGUGGGCACUGGGAAAUCUCAGGCCCUGUCUGGAGAAGGAUUGCAACUUGCAGCACGUGCGCAUGGAUGAUGCUCCUUUGUUCUCCAGCCAUUUGUCGGGGGGAGAGGAGCCAAGGGGCUGGGCAGGGAUUUCUCAAUCCCAGUGAAAAUCUUGAGGUCAAUUUUGAGUCCCUGCUGCAAGAGGAACACAAACCCAUGUGGAAUGCGUUUGGGUUGGAGCUCUGUUACCAGCAUGAAACCCAACCACAUUUCAGCAGGACCUGAGCAUUCCCCCUCUCAUCUAUUUAUCCAGUGCAAACUCAUCAAGCCCCCUAUUUCUGAUGCCAUUCGUUUAACCAAAAAGCAAACCGAUUCACCUGGUGGAUGAAACAUUUUCUGGAUAAGGACCCUCCUUUCCCCUUUAUUUUGCUCCACGCUGGCCAGCUGCUGGGCUUUGCGAAGCGAUUUGCUAUGACCGAAUGCUACGCAGCUGUUUCUCACUAUGGAAUUCUUCAGAGGUGGAUUAUUUGUCACUCCUCCAGCUUAAUAAUAAUAAUCCGUUAAUGCAUUUUUUUGUCAUCCUUUGAGGGAAGAAAACGCUCCCAUGUGUUUUUACGGCGGCGGUGCUUUUCCAUGCACGCACAUAGAGCUCCAUCUCCCUCAGACAGCUCCCUCGGUGCUGAAUAUGAAGUCUUAAAAUAUGACAGCCUGGGUGGGGAGUGUCUUAAAACCACUGCAUUAACAGGCGUGGAAAAGAGAUGGAAGAGGGAAGGGAAAAGUGAAUGUUUCCGACAUGCCGGUGGCCGUGGAGGCCCCUGCUCCCUUUGUGCUCUCUGGGAAACUUGUGAAAAUAUUAGUUCUCCAUCAGCGCUGGAUCACGGCCGUCCCAUGGGCUGGGGGGGGGGGGGGGGGUUGGGGGUUGGCUCUGCACAGCACAGCUGGAGGGUGGCAGGCAGAUGCGUGCAUCCUGCUCCAGAUGUGCGGUGUGAAGCUGCUCCUCUCAGGGCUGGGCGCAGAGCAGCGCACGCAGAGAUGGGGCGUCUCACUCGGGUCGGUUGUUUCUGCCCUUGCUGUGGUUGCUCUGAGCCAGGCAAGGGCUGAGGACGAAGGCUUUACCCACCCCUUGCCAUAGGAUGCUGCAUGCUCCAGCCCGUGGACUGCAGCAGCCGCAGCGCUGUGUGAUUGCAGCCUGGCCAAACCCCUCCCUGCGAGCCCAGCAGCGGCGGCGAGGUGGGGAGCACACACAGAGUCAAGGUGAGUGGGGAAGGCUGAGCAGUUUGCAUCGUGCCCUGGGAAACUCUUGGACGUCGACAGGGUUGGACAUAGCCCAUCAGAGAGUGGAGGAGCAGUGUGUGCUCAGCGUGGUUCUGCUCCGGGCACGUGGCCAACGUUGUCCCCGUGCGCUCUCCAUGUGGCCGCAUCCAAACUCUGCAUCCCAGCUGCCCACACUGGGGACCUGCUACGAUCAGCACCAGAUCAGCCUCACACCCAGAACCCCGCAGCCAGAAUGCUGAGGUUCCCAGGUCUCAAUGGAAGCCCUCCCUUGAGUUGGCCAACCUUACCCUGAGCUUGGCCACAAGUUUUUGUGCUCGACCUUCUGCAAACCUCCCAGCCCUGUGCCCCAUUUCACCCCCCAGCACCUGCACUUUCCAUCCCUAUAGGCAGCGAGGAUGCAAGUGGUUAAACUUUGGAGAUGCUGCUGGGAUCAAGGGAGGGCAGGGGGCUGUGGAAACCCCAUAGGUGGUCAGCGCUGAAACUCUGUGAUGCGCAGCUUCAAAUGAAGGCUCAGAUCCACUGAAAUGCAACCUGCUGGGAGCGAGUUCAGCGCAGAGCAACGUCGGUGCCAAAAUUCGGACAACUUGCUGUGCUUCAAGGAAAUUAAAAAGCCCUUUCUGCUGUUUUUGCUUACCCAAACGCUGGCAGCCUCAGCUGACCCGGCACACCGAAGGAAUCGGCGUUCUGAGCAGGAUCAGGCUUGGAUUUGCUUCUUACAGCUUCCUGUCCUGAUGAGAAAGGCAAAGUUAUUUUGGGAACGUCAUGAAUGAAAACCGAGAGGUGACCGAGGCAGCAGCGGGGUGGGGGGGGGGCAGCCAGAACCAACACUUCCCCUACCCACAGAAGAUGCUCUGGAGGCUGUUCGCUUUUGAUUCCUUCUCCCCAGUGCAAUGAGGAGCAAUUAUGCUUUCCAUAAAAGACUCCUUUUAGGGGACACGUAGGGACUUCAAAGAAAGGCCAGGUCUCCCUGGGGAACAAAGCUGUCGUUUGAGUGAUUCUGGGGUGAUGAAAAGCGUCUGCCUGCUGAUGCCCAGCCCUCUGCUCCCACCCAGGGUUGGUUCAAAGCGAGCAGCCAUGGAGGAAGGUGCAUUCCAUUCCGGGAUCCCAUGCUGCAGGACCCUGCCCCAGCCGGGACCUGGAGCUCCAAUGCUCACCUGGCACUGCCCAUAGGGCUGAGCAGCAUUUUGGGGCUCGCUCCUUGCAAACAGGAGCUGCUUCCCAGCUGCUGCUAUGGCUGUAGGUGGGAUGCUGGGCUCAGGGCACAGGGAACGACCCCGUACCCUAACACUGCAGCAGCCUCGUGGGGAAGCAGCCUGGUUUCCCAAGCUCUCAGCACCCAAUUACCAGCAGCCCCAUGGGAUGCAGUGCACUGAAAGGAUCCCCAUUUCAUCCCUCUCAUGCGGAAGGAAAGCACAAAGAAGCUACACAAGCACCAGAAGCUUUGCUGGAGCCACCUGGGGCUGUGCUACCCCACGCAAAGAUGGGAGGGAGCUGGGUUGCAAAGAGGCAGAAGGCACCAGAAAAACGCUCUGGUUUCGGGUGUCCUGAGCGCUGCCGAUCUGAUCUUAUCUCCAGCUCUGGGCAGGGGUUAUCUCUGCUCCUUGUGAUGAAAGCAUUGCCAGAGACAGUGCUGGCAGGGGGAGGGCCAGGUGGGUGCCAUUCAGUAACACAAGCGUCCACCUUUACUUGGGACAAAGGCAGCCCCGAGGUGCAGAAAGACC